GAAACCAAAGUUAUGGGAUACAAAAAUAUUUCCAUGGGUACCCAUAAAGUUCUUCCGGCCAUUCUCUUUAUGUUCUUAGCUUUAGGCAUAUGCUAUGCUAAAAGAAACCUCCUUUCGCUUGAAGCACACACUUAUGGUGGAGUUGCAGGUGGAGGUGGCUCAGGUGGUGGUGGUGGUUCAGGAUAUGCAGUUGUAGGGGAACAUGGGGUUAAUGCUUAUGCAAGUGGUAUUGGUAGUGGAGAAGGUGGUGGUGCUGGAUAUGGUGGUGUUGGAGUUGGUGGAGGAGGUGGUGGAGGUAGUGGUGGUGGGGGUGGUGCUGCACAUGUUGGAGGAGCUAGUGGUUUUGGAUAUGGUGUUGGUGGUGGUGAAGGAGGUGGUGUAGGAUAUGGUGGUACCAUUGGACUUGGUGGUGGGGGUGGU
rnacentral:misc_RNA from 1 species